GAACGCUGGCGGCAGGCCUAACACAUGCAAGUCGGCGGUAACAGGGAGUGCUUGCACUUCGCUGACGAGCGGCGGACGGGUGAGUAAUGCAUAGGAAUCUGCCUGGUAGUGGGGGAUAGCCCAGAGAAAUUUGGAUUAAUACCGCAUACGCCCUACGGGGGGGGAAGGCUGGGGGACCUUCGGGCCUAGCGCUAUCAGAUGAGCCUAUGUCGGAUUAGCUUGUUGGUGAGGUAACGGCUCACCAAGGCGACGAUCCGUAGCUGGUCUGAGAGGAUGAUCAGCCACACUGGGACUGAGACACGGCCCAGACUCCUACGGGAGGCAGCAGUGGGGAAUAUUGGACAAUGGGCGCAAGCCUGAUCCAGCCAUGCCGCGUGUGUGAAGAAGGCCUUCGGGUUGUAAAGCACUUUCAGCGGGGAGGAAAGGGAUGCUGCUAAUACCAGCGUCCUGUGACGUUACCCGCAGAAGAAGCACCGGCUAACUCCGUG
rnacentral:rRNA from 1 species